UGGGGAAUAUUGGACAAUGGGCGCAAGCCUGAUCCAGCCAUGCCGCGUGAGUGAUGAAGGCCCUAGGGUUGUAAAGCUCUUUCACCGGUGAAGAUAAUGACGGUAACCGGAGAAGAAGCCCCGGCUAACUUCGUGCCAGCAGCCGCGGUAAUACGAAGGGGGCUAGCGUUGUUCGGAUUUACUGGGCGUAAAGCGCACGUAGGCGGACUAUUAAGUCAGGGGUGAAAUCCCGGGGCUCAACCCCGGAACUGCCUUUGAUACUGGUAGUCUUGAGUUCGAGAGAGGUGAGUGGAAUUCCGAGUGUAGAGGUGAAAUUCGUAGAUAUUCGGGGGAACACCAGUGGCGAAGGCAGCUCACUGGCUCGAUACUGACGCUGAGGUGCGAAAGCGUGGGGAGCAAACAGG
rnacentral:rRNA from 1 species